rnacentral:rRNA from 1 species
GAAUCUUGGUCAAUGGGGGAAACCCUGAUCUAGCCAUGCCGCGUGAGUGACGAAGGCCCUAGGGUCGUAAAGCUCUUUCGCCGGGGAAGAUAAUGACGGUACCCGGUAAAGAAGUCCCGGCUAACUCCGUGCCAGCCGCCGCGGUAAUACGGAGGGGACUAGCGUUGUUCGGAAUUACUGGGCGUAAAGCGCGCGUAGGCGGACUACUAAGUCAGGGGUGAAAUCCCGGGGCUCAACCCCGGAACUGCCUUUGAUACUGGUAGUCUUGAGUUCGAGAGAGGUGAGUGGAACUCCGAGUGUAGAGGUGAAAUUCGUAGAUAUUCGGAAGAACACCAGUGGCGAAGGCGGCUCACUGGCUCGAUACUGACGCUGAGGUGCGAAAGUGUGGGGAGCAAACAGG